rnacentral:sRNA from 1 species
GGGUGUCAGGGCGGCCGCCCGGGAGCGGUGAUCAGUGACCCCGGUGGGGGAAAAGGGAAGAUGGUUCAUAUGGACAAAAGCGGAGGUGCUGCACAGUUGCAUUUUCCACAGAGGCUAGUUAUACAGAUGUCAGGGUUGAUUGGCUACUAUUGAUUACACCCUCGGAGCUUGCUGAACAUUACACUGUACAGAGGGAACAGUGACCAGGGUCUCUGCUGCCAGCGUCACUUCGUCCAGGUUUUCAUAAAGCACAGGGAGUCGGGCUGAUGCGCAACAUCUCAACACAGGGUCAGGAAGCAGCGGUCAGGCACCAGAGGAAACAGCCGAGUUACGUGAGGCAGUGUCCACUGAGCGUAAUAAAUUUGGAAGGCUCCGACAUUGAUUUUCACACUAGCAGGAGGGAGGGCGCUGGGUCACCCUCCUAUGGAGAAGGGGAGCCACGGGUGCACACUUCCCCAUCCCCUGCCUGGAGCCUCACUGUCCAGCGCAGCCUGGGCCCGCAGACCACCGCGGGUGGGAGUGCCGCAUCGGAGAGAAACUCACUGCAGAGCUGGGCUGUGUGCAGAUUUCCACCUUUGAUCUAAGACAGGAUGAGGCAUAAGGGUCCUGCAGAUGGGCCUCUUUUUGAGGGCAAUGAAGGGGCAAAGAUGAAGCUGUGAAAAAAAAAAAAAA